CUACAAUAGCAAGGAACUAGGAAGUCAAUUCCAUCUCAGAGUCUCCAGGAAACACAGCCCAGUCAACAGUUUAGCUUGGGCCUUGUAAGACCAUAAGAGAAUUCAGAAGAGUCAGUCUGACAACUGGCUGAAGAAUCUGCUUCAGGGAGUCAGCAGCAGAAGCAGAGAGACAAGUUUCAUUUACUCAGGUCCCAAGUAGCUGGUGUUCAGAGCAAGACAGUGAGUGAUUUGACUAUGGUCACACAAUCUGUCUGAGAUGGUCUAAGAAUGGUCAUUGGACUAUUUUGGUGCAUCUGUCCUGGAACCUCCCAUGAAACAUAUCUGGAUCUGGAAACAUACCUUGCUAUGCACGAGCCUCACUCCUUGCCAGGACUGGUUCCUCUGGCCUCUUGGGAACUGGUGAGGUAAGUUCUGACUUGCCCAAGAUCCCCCCUCAGGGAGGAGCUCUCUCCUUCUUGUUGCCUGGGAUGCAGAGGUAGCUUUGAGUCAUGUUGUCAUUUUGGACCGUGUGUACUAGGAUGACAG